UUCAGUUUUAUUUGUCACAAGCCAAGGUACAAAGUAUAGUAAGCAAAGCAGUGACAUGAGUGUCGGAGUCUGCAGAAGGGCAGACUAUACAAAACUGCAAAAAAAAUAAAAAUAAAUAAUAUAUAUAUAUAUAUAUAUAUAAUUUUAUAUUAUGAAAAAUAUUGCAGAUGGUGGGAAAUAUCGUGAUAUAAAACCAGUCACUGUGCUGUUCACACUACAAACAGAUAAGUGUACUGAUGACGAGACGCCACUGUGGGGCAGUGGCGGCACAAAAACAGCACAGAGGGUAUUUUACACAGCCCACAGGGAAGGAUGUGGGGGAGAAAAGAAACAUGAAUUAACUUUAAUCUGCAGAAACAAAGAAAUAAUCAACUAAAAUGAAUAAACAAGUGCAAAUAACUAACUAAAAGACAAUUCUGAGAACGAUACAUCCAAUUCCUUUGAGGACGUGUUCACAUCUAUUCAAGUCUAUGUUAAAACAAUAUUCAUAUGUCCAUAUGACACUGAGAACACUGUUGGUCUCUUCACUGUUAAAAGAGAUUCCAGUGUGAGUGAUGAAGUCCUCGUGUGAAAACGUUAUUCAGCUUAAGCUUCAGCAGUUUAUAAAACUUUUCUCUUGGUUACUGUUGCUCCACAUCAGAGAUGAAGAUGAUCUGUUGAGUCUGGCUCAGACUCUCAUGGCGCAUGUGGACAUGUGAGUGGCGGGAUUUUUACAACAGACUUGAAAAACUAUCCUUUAAUAUUUAUUUAAGAUUUUGUGACUGCAUUUCCCACCAGCACCAUCUCCACAUCCUCUCUCUUUCUUUCUUAUAUAUUUUGCACAUUUCUGCUGCAAUCUUCUCAUGUGGCACCAUCUCCCUCUCCACUCCCAUGAGACUCAUUUAAUGACAUUAAUAAUAUCAUUAGUGGCACGCACGCACGCAGGCAGGCACACA